CGGGGGGGGGGGCAAGCGUUGUUCGGAAUUACUGGGCGUAAAGGGCGCGUAGGCGGUCCCGCAAGUCCUUCGUGAAAUCCCACAGCUCAACUGUGGAAUUGCGAGGGAAACUGCAGGACUUGAGUCCGGGAGAGGAGAGUGGAAUUCCCAGUGUAGCGGUGAAAUGCGUAGAUAUUGGGAGGAACACCGGUGGCGAAGGCGGCUCUCUGGACCGGCACUGACGCUGAGGCGCGAAAGCUAGGGGAGCAAACGGGAUUAGAUACCCCGGUAGUCCUAGCCCUAAACGAUGAGCACUUGGUGUGGCGGGUAUCGACCCCUGCCGUGCCGAAGCUAACGCAUUAAGUGCUCCGCCUGGGGAGUACGGUCGCAAGGCUG
rnacentral:rRNA from 1 species